rfam:Caenorhabditis remanei strain PB4641 contig6.6, whole genome shotgun sequence.
GGUCCUGUGGUGUAGUGGUUAUCACGUCUGCUUUACACGCAGAAGGCCGCCGGUUCGAUCCCGGCCAGGACCU